GACUUCUCAGAGUCUGGCGUUUCAAGUUUUUAAUUUUCUCUAAUCGGUCCGCGUAUAGAGUUAUUGGAAUUCUUCAAACGUUAUUGAAACGCUGUCGUCAUUCGUAAUAAAACUUUGAACAUCAGCAGCGCCCACCGGCUCAUGAUGUUGCUUUUCCUCCGAUGCAGGCAAAAGACAGCUGAGCCCCUAUAGAUACCCGGAAG
rnacentral:misc_RNA from 1 species